rnacentral:misc_RNA from 1 species
AGAACGCACAAAAAUGAAGCACGCUGCUAUCGAAUGUCUGUCUUUAUUCCAAAAUUCGUUGUCAUUAAAUCGCAGCAAACAUUUACUCAUUCUUGGCACUGGAAUUUCUGGACUGUAUCUUGUUGGACAAAUCUACGUCUCUUACAAGAAAGCCCAACGCAGGAAGAAAUGGGCUUCUGUGGAGAAGAAUAUGGUUAUCCUUCAUCAGUUUGAACGGGGAAAAUUCACGCCCAAUGUUUCUCCGUAGCCCCCUGAAGUUGGAGACAUACCUGAGAAUGACUGGCAUUCCUUAUGAGGUAAAACUCCAUGGAUCACACUUAAUGGUGACAAGAUUGCUGACUCACAGCUGUGCAUGGAGCUGUUGGCCAGAAAGUUCCACAAAGAUUGCAGUUCUCACUUGUCACCCAAAGAGCAAGCCAUAGUGUGGUCAUUCCACAUUAUGGCUGAGGAGCAUCUCUAUUAGGGUUUGCUUCUGUGGCGCUGGGUGUACACCAAACGAAGGACCCUCUGGCAAGUUCCAGUUCAAACAACACUGAUUUAGCUUCAGUAUUUCAGUAAUAACUUGUUUAACACAGGUUCAAUGCAACCUUCCUAAAAGUCUCAGCCUGAUAUGUUGCCUUUAGUUGUCAAGAAAUUGAAAGGCCAAGCUCAAGGGCAAGGAAUAGGAAUGGGUCUGCACACUGAAGCCGAAGUCAUUGAAAUGAGCGUUAAGGACUUGCGAGCCAUUUCCAAUUUCCUUGGUACCAAACAAUUUCUGAUGGGUGACAAAGCAAUUGAAGCAAAUUGUGCCGUCUAUGGAAUUCUCAGCCAGUUGCUGUGAAACUGCCCAGGCUCCCCAUUUGAAUGUUUCCUUUCUAUAUAUCUAAACGAUCUCCCUUGCAAAAUAUGAAAUAGUACUUGUCGGUGUAGUAAGUAAAAGUCUGAGAUUAUGUUUAUA